GUCCACACGGUAAACGAUGAAUACUCGCUGUAGGCGAUAUACGGUCUGCGGCCAAGCGAAAGCAUUAAGUAUUCCACCUGGGGAGUACGCCGGCAACGGUGAAACUCAAAGGAAUUGACGGGGGCCCGCACAAGCGGAGGAACAUGUGGUUUAAUUCGAUGAUACGCGAGGAACCUUACCCGGGCUUAAAAUUGCAACCGAAUAUGGCGGAAACGCCAUAGCUAGCAAUAGCGGUUGUGAAGGUGCUGCAUGGUUGUCGU
rnacentral:rRNA from 1 species